CUGCCACAGACCCCCAUCAAUCACUUAGAAAAAUAGAGACCACAUAGAAUUGUCAUGACAACAAACCUAGCAACACCCUAGUGACCACCUACAACACCAUAGCAACCACUCAGUGAACUUUAGUAUCAAUCUAGACAUAGCAAUGCUUUAGCAACUGCCAACAGCACCCUAGCAACAACCCAAAACAAUGUACCACAAAAUACUACCAUACUGACUGUCCAGAACACCCCAUGAUGAUCCAUCGAUUUUACAUUUAAGUUUAAAUUUGCAUUUCAUUUUAGGUAAUGUAGCUGGUCACAUGUGAUAUGACACUGAGGUCUAGUGUACACAAGACUAUAUGCAAAUUACAGUCAGUUUUGUUACACAAUAUCUUAUUGAUGUGUGCUUUGUAUAAAUACAACAACAACAACAACAACAACAAAAAGAUCUCAUGCUAAGUAUUCUACAUGUUUCAAGUUAUACAAGUUGUCUCUUUUAACUUGUUUUGUAUGGUAUUGUAAUAUAGAGUAGCUAAUGUACACAAGUGCAGCCUUCUUGUACUUACAAAUCCAGCAAAUCCUCAAGUGCAGUACAAUGUACCGACUGUAGCUGUAUAAAUUACAGUGUGCUAGUAUUAUUGUCAUUUCUGUACAUUUGUAUUAUUGGGGACAGCUGUUUAUUGUAUCUGUGUAUGUGUUCGUCAUCAUAACACCUAACAAAUAUUCAGUGGAGCUGAACUACUGCCAGGACUGCAGAUCUCUUCCACUGCACGUGGAUCUAAACUACACACCAGUUUGUGUCUUAAGAACAAGUGUUGAUCGCUCAGAGAUUAAACUUGUUUUGGACCAAAUUUCUGAGUUAUGGGGCGUGCAGCCGGAGACAAAAUGGGGCGUUCAACAAAAUUUAAAAGCAUUGUUUGUUUAUUUAUAAUGUACAUGAAAUCUAAUAAACAUUAUUUCAUUUUUCAAGUUGCUUUUGAGCUUGAUCUGGAAAGGACUGUUUAUGCAUAGCUAUUUAAAGUAUUUUCCCCAGCAAAACAGAUUUAAUUGACUGAUUUAUUUAUUUCACAAAAUAUGAAAAAGCCAUACGUGCCACUGUUUUUAUUUAUUUAUUUUUGUUUGUUUUAUUGAAUUUUUAUGUUAUAUUGAGAAGAAUAAAAUGCUUUGUGUAUACUAGUUUUUGUUUUUUACUUGAUUAAAAAACACUAACACGGUUUGAAGUUAAAAACGUCUUUAUGAUGGAUUUGUUUCUUAAAAACAGUUUUUCUCCUCACAAGAUGUUAACUGAUGGAGUCGAGUGGUGUGGAUUAUUGUGAUGUUUUUAUCAGCUGUUUUGCAGAGGAUCUAUUUGUGUGCAAGUGAUGUAAUGCUAAAUUUCUCCAAAUCCAUUAAGAUGAAGAAAAACUCAUCUACAUCUUGGUUGGCCUGAGGUUGAGCACAUUUUCAGCAAGUUUUCAUUUUUAGGUGAACUAUUGCUUUAAAACCCUUAUAUAGCCCCAUCCAUGUGGUCAUGUCAUUCAAAAUGUAGAGCAUGUUGAGUUUAAAUGUUUUACAUUUCAUGAUAAAAAAGUAUUCCAAUUUAAAUUGACUGACUUAUGAAAUAUGAAAUCUGUCCUCACUGUCCAUGUGAAGGCUGACUCUAAGUUUCUUUGUAGUAGAGAGUUUUGAAGUUGACAGAGUACCACUGAAUGUUUAGGGCUGUUUGCUUGUGUAUAAGGAAGCUGGUGAGGGAGCAUGGAGGACUAGGAAUCAAUCAUUUGCUAUUUAUGUUGUUAAAUGUUGUUAAAAGAGAAACUACUAAUGGUCUACACUACAGACAUAUUUACAAUCACCUAUUUAAUUAAUUUCAGUAAUUAUGUAUUUAAAAAGCAAUAAAAUAAAAUGGAAAAAAAAUUAAAAAUCUGGUCUGGGUUGCACUAAGGUUGAUCUGAGUUUUUUUCUUUUCUUCUUCUUCUUAAUCCCAACACAGUAGCUGAAUGUCCAGCAUAACGAGAAAGUGAGCAAAACUGAAAAUUGGCAAUGGAUUGAAUUUUCUUUAUUCAAAGAAUUAAGAAUAACUCAUGAAUAGCUCUCACAGCAUAUAUUAAAUAUUAAAUGAAUCUUCUGUGAAUUUACUGUGGUGACUUGUUAGGAGGGUGUGAACAAAUAACUCUGAGUCAGCUUGAUUAGUUCCCAGCGUACAAAGACUCUAAAGCCACCGGCUCAAAUUUGCCUUUAAACAGGUCAUAUUUCAGUCUAAACAUGCCUUUUAAAAUCUCCUUCAAUUUCUCUGGGUUUAAUAUUGUAAAGAAGUCUCUUAUUUUCACUGAAUGUAUCAUUAUGUGCUGUCUUGUUAAAUACCAAUAAAAAGAAAAAAAAAAAGAUUAAAAAAAU
ensembl:lncRNA